AAAAAGGGUGCUCGUCUUCGGCACAUUCCAAUAUUUAGGAAUAUUGGUGCAGACGCAUUGUGCCGUUGGCCCAUUCAUACGCUUUUUGCGGGCGGGGGCGUGCGUCACAUUGCCGCCUUCGAUGGGUCCAAGCGCGCCCAGUGGGGUAUGGCUUUGCAUAUCCAGUGCAUAAUUUUUGUGUUUGGGGCUAGUGGCUGCACGUUUGCAACAGCCGGAUUGCAGAUUUAUCUGCGUGCCGGCAGUCCGUGCGCUGCGCCCCA